rnacentral:rRNA from 1 species
UACAGGGGGUGCAAACGUUGCUCGGAAUUAUUGGGCGUAAAGCGCGCGUAGGCGGCUAUCUAAGUCGGAUGUGAAAGCCCCUGACUUAACUGGGGAAGUGCACCCGAAACUGGGUAGCUAGAGUGCAAAAGAGGGUCGCGGAAUUCCCGGUGUAGAGGUGAAAUUCGUAGAUAUCGGGAGGAACACCGGUGGCGAAGGCGGCGACCUGGGUUGACACUGACGCUGAGGCGCGAAAGCGUGGGGAGCAAACAGG